GACGAACGCUGGCGGCGUGCUUAACACAUGCAAGUCGAACGAAGUGGCGAACGGGUGAGUAAUACGUGGGUAACCUGCCCUCCUUUUUUGGAUAAGCCUUGGAAACGGGGUCUAAUACCGAAUAAAGGGGGAUGGGCUCGCGGCCUAUCAGCUUGUUGGGGGGGUGAUGGCCUACCAAGGCGGUGACGGGUAGCCGGCCUGAGAGGACGACCAGCCACACGGGGACUGAGACACGGCCCAGACUCCUACGGGAGGCAGCAGUGGGGAAUUUUGGACAAUGGGGGAAACCCUGAUCCAGCCAUCCCGCGUGUAUGAUGAAGGCCUUCGGGUUGUAAAGUACUUUUGGCAGAGAAGCGGUAUCUGCAGAAUAAGCACCGGCUAACUACGUGCCAGCAGCCGCGGUAAUAC
rnacentral:rRNA from 1 species